AACGAACGCUGGCGGCAUGCCUAACACAUGCAAGUCGAACGAGACCUUCGGGUCUAGUGGCGCACGGGUGGGUACCGCGUGGAAACCUGCCCUUAGGUUCGGAAUAACUCCCCGAAGGGGGUGCUAAUACGGGAUAAUGUUUUCGGACCAAAGAUUUAUCGCCUUUGGAUGGGCCCGCGUUGGAUUAGCUAGUUGGUAGGGUAAAAGCCUACCAAGGCGACGAUCCAUAGCUGGUCUGAGAGGAUGAUCAGCCACACUGGGACUGAGACACGGCCCAGACUCCUACGGGAGGCAGCAGUGGGGAAUAUUGGACAAUGGGCGAAAGCCUGAUCCAGCAAUGCCGCGUGAGUGAUGAAGGCCUUAGGGUUGUAAAGCUCUUUUACCCGGGAUGAUAAUGACAGUACCGGGAGAAUAAGCUCCGGCUAACUCCGUG
rnacentral:rRNA from 1 species